GAUCAUGGCUCAGGAUGAACGCUGGCGGCGUGCCUAACACAUGCAAGUCGAACGGACUUACAUUGAAGCCUAGCGAUAUGUAAGUUAGUGGCGGACGGGUGAGUAACGCGUGGGUAACCUGCCUUGUACUGGGGGACAACAGUUGGAAACGACUGCUAAUACCGCAUAAGCGCACAGCUUCGCAUGAAGCAGUGUGAAAAACUCCGGUGGUACAAGAUGGACCCGCGUCUGGAUUAG
rnacentral:rRNA from 1 species